rnacentral:rRNA from 1 species
GUGAACGCUGGCGGUAGGCCUAACACAUGCAAGUCGAACGGCAGCACAGUAAGAGCUUGCUCUUACGGGUGGCGAGUGGCGGACGGGUGAGGAAUACAUCGGAAUCUACUUUUUCGUGGGGGAUAACGUAGGGAAACUUACGCUAAUACCGCAUACGACCUACGGGUGAAAGCAGGGGAUCUUCGGACCUUGCGCGAUUGAAUGAGCCGAUGUCGGAUUAGCUAGUUGGCGGGGUAAAGGCCCACCAAGGCGACGAUCCGUAGCUGGUCUGAGAGGAUGAUCAGCCACACUGGAACUGAGACACGGUCCAGACUCCUACGGGAGGCAGCAGUGGGGAAUAUUGGACAAUGGGCGCAAGCCUGCUCCAGCCAUACCGCGUGGGUGAAGAAGGCCUUCGGGUUGUAAAGCCCUUUUGUUGGGAAAGAAAAGCAGCAGGUUAAUACCCCGCUGUUCUGACGGUACCCAAAGAAUAAGCACCGGCUAACUUCGUG